rnacentral:rRNA from 1 species
UACGUAGGGUGCAAGCGUUAAUCGGAAUUACUGGGCGUAAAGCGUGCGCAGGCGGUGAUGUAAGACAGAUGUGAAAUCCCCGGGCUCAACCUGGGAACUGCAUUUGUGACUGCAUCGCUGGAGUGCGGCAGAGGGGGAUGGAAUUCCGCGUGUAGCAGUGAAAUGCGUAGAUAUGCGGAGGAACACCGAUGGCGAAGGCAGGUCUCUGGGCUAUAACUGACGCUCAUGCACGAAAGCGUGGGGAGCAAACAGG